rnacentral:lncRNA from 1 species
UGGUAAGGGCAGGAAGUUAGUCAGUUUUCAAUCACUGUGAUAAAAUACCUGACAUCAGUUAGCUUAUGAAGAAGAAAGUUUCACUUUGGCUCCUAGUUUCAGAGGGUUUAGUCCAUGGCCCCUUGGUCCUGUUGCUUGGGCCUGUAGGUGCAUAGUGUAUCAUGGCAGGAAUGCAUGACAGAGGCAGCCUGUUUACCUCAGGGCAGCUGGGAAACAGAGAGUGGUUAGCUUCUCGGCCUCCCCUCAGCGGGCAUACCAUCAGUGACCUAAGUUCUUCCUACUAGGUUCCACCUCAUAAUGUUUAAGCCACCACCACCACCACCCCAAGUAGCCCCACCCCAAGCCCUCAACAUGUGGACCUUAAGGGAACAUGUCAAGCCCAAAGUGUAGCAAAGGAGAGGACCUGCUGAAACCAACCCUGGACAUGGAGAUUUAUCUAGUCAGGCCCAAAAAAUCUAAAUGAAGGGCCAGAGAGCGGGACUUGGUGGUUACAGGCACUGUGUCAGGCAGCUUACAACUGCCUGUCACUCCAGGUACAUGAGAUUCAACACCCUCUUCCAGACUCUACUGGUUACCUGCAUAUACACAGUGCAGAUACGAUCACAGAGGUGUCCACACACACAUACGCCCAUAUCAUAAACCUUUAAAAAUUAUAAGUGCCAGGUAUCUUAAAGUGAAGCGCUGACGAACAUGGACUUCACACCUGUAACCUCAGUACUGAGGACGCUGAGGCAGGAGCAUUCCCAAGAGUUCCAGGCAAGCCUGUGCUACCCAGUGAGCUCCAGGUUAAUUCUUGCCAGAGGACGUUCUAUGGAUCGACUGCGAAUUGAAGUUACUAUCGUCUUCCUAAGCUCUGAGGAAUAGCAAGAAGUCUGUUCGGGAAGGGAGCUGACACAGCCAAGGCCCAGGCUCACUGCCAGGCUGCCAGGCUCCAACCGUCCACUCUACACUGAGAAGGGACCUGAAAAAAUCGCCACAGGAGAAGAGACCAGGGUGCCACAGGGAACCCACACAUCUACUCGGAGGAACGCCUGAGAUGAUCAGUUCAGAAGGAAGACUGAGUUCUUUGUUUGGACUCACGGUCUCGGGAGGUUUCCAUUCC